AGAGAACUUUUUCAGUUGCAUCGAGAGGCCGAUGCUGAGCUGCGGCCGCCGGGACGGGGGCAGGAGGGCCCCCCACCACUGUGUGAUGGAAAUGGGUGAAGUGUUCCUCCAGCUGUGCCAAGAGGUGGCCAGGCUGCGGGAGCUGUGCUCCAGGCAGAGCGAGCUGCUGCAGAAGUUGAGCGCCAGGAAGGGCCCUGUCCUGGACAUCCCCACAUCGCUGCCCAUCCAGUGCACGGAGGAUGCUUGGGCAGAGGGAGGGGAGCAGCCAGCAGCCAGCCCCCAGGUGCACCCUGAGGCCUCGCAUGGCUCUGCCCACCCGCUGGCCCCACUGCACGCUGCCCACGUGCUGCCCGGCUCCGGUGGUUGGUUCCCAGUGUGCAGUGACCUCGAAGCUGGAAGAGCUGCCCUCCCCGGGGCUUUUGGCAGCAGCCAGGCGGGGAGGAAGGAGAAGAUGCUGGUAGACACAUGGCUGGAGGACUGUAGGAUGGCUCCUACCACAAAUAGCCCCGAGGAAGAAGUGAGACCUUGCUGCAGCCCACAGGAGUUUGCGGCACCAAGCAGUGAGGCUGCGGACUCCUUCCUGACUAUCCUGGAUCUCUACGAAGCCCCAGAAGCCCUUCGGGGGGAGGAUGCUCCCAGCGAGAGCGCUCUGCCUGCUGCAGACAAGGUGCCAGUGGAAAUCCGAGGACCCCUGAAGACCUCCUGGACGCCGGGCUGGGUGCUGGAGGACUCUGUGCUUGGACCGGGCGCAGCCGCGGCCGCUCAGACAUGUGACAUUUGCCAGGAGAUCUUCCCUGCGGACACCGCAGCUCAGGCUGACUAUUUAAAGCACGUCUUAACCCAUAUGAAGUAGAGCUUUAGGACUUCAUGCUCAGGAACCCACGUAUGUGCAACUGUGAGCAGCACAGUGGGUUCCGGACCUUUAGGAGGUGCGGCUGCUGGGUCAGACCAGGCUGCUGUCCCCUUCCGUGUAACCCGGGUUGGUUCCUGCUGCCCUGCCUUGGGCCCCAGUGAGGGUUCUAGGUGUGUUUCAUCUCAUUGAGCUUCGUGGAUAUCAAAACUGCUUCUGUGCUGAGCUCCAGAUGCAUGUAGGAGGUCUGGGGAACUGCAACUUAAUGGGAAAUGGACGUUUUCCCAAAAUUCUCCGUAACUGGAAAAUGUUGAUUUUUUUUUUUCCCUGAAUAGAGAAAAAUAUUUGAAAAGCUGCAUUGUUUUUUUUCCAAGAACACGAGUGAGAGGAUCACCACGUUUUGGUGGCACUAAAUGUGAAUUUGCCUUUGGAGAGGGCGUGAGCGCUGGGGCCGCAUGCACGAUGCCCCCCGCUCUGCUGUGGUGCAAAGCUCUGAUUCCAUCACUACGAGGGGCAGAACUGAGACCUCUCCUCGCUCCUCAUUAAAACCUCAUCAGCUCCAGCUCUUUAGCUCCUGGGAGUUUAAUUGGUCGCUAUCCAGGUGGGAAGAGGCUGCUCAGGGCCCAUAGGUGAGGGAUGGGCUGCUGGGUGUAGGGAAGGGUGGAGUGGCAAGGAGUUCCUGCAGUGCAGCAAUGAGGUGGGCACAUGGGGUGUUAUCCUGCCAUAUCCCUUCUAUUUGGGGUGCUAUCUGUGCUCUCAGAAUGAAGAUUGCACUCCUUCAUUAGCAGCAGAUGUGAUGUUGUUGUUCCAUAACGUUUUCUGUCAAUAGAUAUCCAUGUGCUUUGCAAAGGAGUUCACCUGGAAACAAAAGAGCAAAAUGCUGGUUAGCUCCAAAUCGUUUUGUUUUGCUUCCUUUGGAAAAACCUAAUCUCAGGCCUUUAUGUUCAACAUGUAGCUCUGAAGCAGAUCUGGCAUCGCAUCUUUGAGGCAACUUGCAUUUAAAUCAACGGCCGACGUCUCUGCUUCCAUGGAUGGAGAUUAAUUCCAGUCUCCAGCUCCAGAAUCUCAUCUUUAGCAGCACAGAUAAUAGCAAAGACUCGAGGCUCUUCCCAGAAGUGUAGCUGCAUUAUGAAGCUGCUGUGACCGCAGCGGAGCUGAUGACAAACAUCUGUGUGUCCCGAGGAACUCGUCCUUCAGAUGGGCAGGGACUGAUGUGCAUGGGGCAGAACCGGCUCCUGGCAAUUUGGGAUUUGCAGACUUGGGGUUUGCAGCCACUUCUCUGGGGACCUUUUUCCAGGAUGGAGCCCUCAGCUCUCUUGCUUAGAGCCACAGCUCUGGGCUCAGUUCCUUCCAUGCAGAUUCUGGAGCUGCUCCUUGGCCUCAGCACAAUUAGGACCUUGACUUGGUGGGGGUCAAAGUGGGAAUUCUUACAUCACAGUGCAGAACCCCCGUUGGCAUCUCCAACAGCUCCAAGCUGCCUCCUGUGGCUCUCCAAUUUAAUUAGGCAGUGGCAUCAUUGUAUAGUGUUUUGUGCUGUUCUGUAGGGCCUGGAAGAAAGUAUCUGUUCACAGCUUGCAGAAUUACUAGAAGCACCAGCUCUGACAGCGCUCUGCAUCAAGAAGGGCCGUAAAUUCAUUUGGCAUAAAAUUGUAACAGCUAUCCAGAAUUUGCCAGAAGGAAGAAAACCAACCCGGUUCCUCCUGCUCUGAGAGCAAGUCCAAUAAAUUUAAUUUAAAAAUUGUGAGCA
rnacentral:lncRNA from 1 species